AUUGAACGCUGGCGGCAGGCCUAACACAUGCAAGUCGAGCGGAUGACGAGAGCUUGCUCCUUGAUUCAGCGGCGGACGGGUGAGUAAUGCCUAGGAAUCUGCCUGGUAGUGGGGGACAACGUUUCGAAAGGAACGCUAAUACCGCAUACGUCCUACGGGCGAAAGCAGGGGACCUUCGGGCCUUGCGCUAUCAGAUGAGCCUAGGUCGGAUUAGCUAGUUGGUGGGGUAAUGGCUCACCAAGGCGACGAUCCGUAACUGGUCUGAGAGGAUGAUCAGUCACACUGGAACUGAGACACGGUCCAGACUCCUACGGGAGGCAGCAGUGGGGAAUAUUGGACAAUGGGCGAAAGCCUGAUCCAGCCAUGCCGCGUGUGUGAAGAAGGUCUUCGGAUUGUAAAGCACUUUAAGUUGGGAGGAAGGGCGGUAAGCUAAUACCUUGCUGUUUUGACGUUACCGACAGAAUAAGCACCGGCUAACUCUGUGCCAGCAGCCGCGGUAA
rnacentral:rRNA from 1 species